rnacentral:rRNA from 1 species
AUGUUGUUGGGUAGGGGAGCGUUCUGUAAGCCUGUGAAGGUGUGCUGCGAGGCAUGCUGGAGGUAUCAGAAGUGCGAAUGCUGACAUAAGUAACGAUAAUGCGGGUGAAAAACCCGCACGCCGGAAGACCAAGGGUUCCUGUCCAACGUUAAUCGGGGCAGGGUGAGUCGACCCCUAAGGCGAGGCAGAAAUGCGUAGUCGAUGGGAAACAGGUUAAUAUUCCUGUACUGGUGAUAAUUGCGAUGGGGGGACGGAGAAGGCUAGGCUGGCCGGGCGACGGUUGUCCCGGUUUAAGGAUGUAGGUGGGCGAAUUAGGCAAAUCCGGUUCGCUAUACACUGAGGUCUGAUGACGAGUCACUACGGUGGCGAAGUAGCUCAUGCCCCGCUUCCAGGAAAAGCCUCUAAGCUCUAGAUUAUCAUUAAUCGUACCCCAAACCGACACAGGUGGUCAGGUAGAGAAUACUCAGGCGCUUGAGAGAACUCGGGUGAAGGAACUAGGCAAAAUGGUGCCGUAACUUCGGGAGAAGGCACGCUGGCAUUAGGUGAAGUCCCUUGCGGAUGGAGCUGAAGCCAGUCGCAGAUACCAGCUGGCUGCAACUGUUUAUUAAAAACACAGCACUGUGCAAACACGAAAGUGGACGUAUACGGUGUGACGCCUGCCCGGUGCUGGAAGGUUAAUUGAUGGGGUUAUCCGUAAGGAGAAGCUCUUGAUCGAAGCCCCAGUAAACGGCGGCCGUAACUAUAACGGUCCUAAGGUAGCGAAAUUCCUUGUCGGGUAAGUUCCGACCUGCACGAAUGGCGUAAUGAUGGCCAGGCUGUCUCCACCCGAGACUCAGUGAAAUUGAACUCGCUGUGAAGAUGCAGUGUACCCGCGGCAAGACGGAAAGACCCCGUGAACCUUUACUAUAGCUUGACACUGAACAUUGAGCCUUGAUGUGUAGGAUAGGUGGGAGGCUUUGAAGUGUGGACGCCAGUCUGCAUGGAGCCAACCUUGAAAUACCACCCUUUAAUGUUUGAUGUUCUAACGU